UUACUGCUUAAGAUAUUUUGGGGUUUUGCAGGAUUUCACAUUGCAGGAAGCAAUGGGCUCCAAUAUAUAAAAUAAUGUUUCCUGCAGUGUGACAUCCUGCAAGAUCCUGAGUAAGCUUCAUCUUUGCUG
rnacentral:precursor_RNA from 14 species